rnacentral:rRNA from 1 species
GGGUUGUGAGGUUAAGCGACUAAGCGUACACGGUGGAUGCCCUGGCAGUCAGAGGCGAUGAAGGACGUGCUAAUCUGCGAUAAGCGUCGGUAAGGUGAUAUGAACCGUUAUAACCGGCGAUUUCCGAAUGGGGAAACCCAGUGUGUUUCGACACACUAUCAUUAACUGAAUCCAUAGGUUAAUGAGGCGAACCGGGGGAACUGAAACAUCUAAGUACCCCGAGGAAAAGAAAUCAACCGAGAUUCCCCCAGUAGCGGCGAGCGAACGGGGAGCAGCCCAGAGCCUGAAUCAGUAUGUGUGUUAGUGGAAGCGUCUGGAAAGGCGCGCGAUACAGGGUGACAGCCCCGUACACAAAAAUGCACAUGCUGUGAGCUCGAUGAGUAGGGCGGGACACGUGGUAUCCUGUCUGAAUAUGGGGGGACCAUCCUCCAAGGCUAAAUACUCCUGACUGACCGAUAGUGAACCAGUACCGUGAGGGAAAGGCGAAAAGAACCCCGGCGAGGGGAGUGAAAAAGAACCUGAAACCGUGUACGUACAAGCAGUGGGAGCACGCUUAGGCGUGUGACUGCGUACCUUUUGUAUAAUGGGUCAGCGACUUAUAUUCUGUAGCAAGGUUAACCGAAUAGGGGAGCCGAAGGGAAACCGAGUCUUAACUGGGCGUUAAGUUGCAGGGUAUAGACCCGAAACCCGGUGAUCUAGCCAUGGGCAGGUUGAAGGUUGGGUAACACUAACUGGAGGACCGAACCGACUAAUGUUGAAAAAUUAGCGGAUGACUUGUGGCUGGGGGUGAAAGGCCAAUCAAACCGGGAGAUAGCUGGUUCUCCCCGAAAGCUAUUUAGGUAGCGCCUCGUGAAUUCAUCUCCGGGGGUAGAGCACUGUUUCGGCAAGGGGGUCAUCCCGACUUACCAACCCGAUGCAAACUGCGAAUACCGGAGAAUGUUAUCACGGGAGACACACGGCGGGUGCUAACGUCCGUCGUGAAGAGGGAAACAACCCAGACCGCCAGCUAAGGUCCCAAAGUCAUGGUUAAGUGGGAAACGAUGUGGGAAGGCCCAGACAGCCAGGAUGUUGGCUUAGAAGCAGCCAUCAUUUAAAGAAAGCGUAAUAGCUCACUGGUCGAGUCGGCCUGCGCGGAAGAUGUAACGGGGCUAAACCAUGCACCGAAGCUGCGGCAGCGACGCUGAUGCGUUGUUGGGUAGGGGAGCGUUCUGUAAGCCUGCGAAGGUGUGCUGUGAGGCAUGCUGGAGGUAUCAGAAGUGCGAAUGCUGACAUAAGUAACGAUAAAGCGGGUGAAAAGCCCGCUCGCCGGAAGACCAAGGGUUCCUGUCCAACGUUAAUCGGGGCAGGGUGAGUCGACCCCUAAGGCGAGGCCGAAAGGCGUAGUCGAUGGGAAACAGGUUAAUAUUCCUGUACUUGGUGUUACUGCGAAGGGGGGACGGAGAAGGCUAUGUUGGCCGGGCGACGGUUGUCCCGGUUUAAGCGUGUAGGCUGGUUUUCCAGGCAAAUCCGGAAAAUCA